GUAUGUUCAUUGCAGUUUCUAGUUUUUUGGCUAUAUUACUUGUAGGGAUAACGAUGCUUUCAGAGUCCUGGUGCUUUGAGCAGAAGGUGCAGGAGAAAGGUGACAUGGAAAGAAAAAGAAGUCAGUUUCCCUUGGAGCACCUUCUGUUUGGUGAAAAAAGAUGUGCUGAUGCAAGAGCACAGUCAGAGCUUUCCCAAGGACUACUUUGGUGCUGUGUGAAAAGUCUUCCAGGUUGUUGACAGAAGUACAUUUCUCUUCAUCAAAGAACAUCUGUAUAGCCAUGACCAUGUGGAUUGUCCAUCUUUUCUACUGACAAAAGAUGGAAUUUUCUUUCUAUGAUGGAGAAAGAGUUGAGCUCAGGUAGGAUUAUGUUUUGAUAAUGGGGAAAUUGACUGACGAUGCAGCUUUUAGCUGAAACAUAACAGGGAGAUGUGGUACAACUGUGACUUCUGAUUAAUGGACUUUUAAUGGGAUUCAUAAGACCUUACAGCGUGCCAGAAGAGGAUGGGCUGUCUGCACAGUUCCCCUGUAUAGUGAGUGACUGGAGAUAUGUGCUGUUUGCCUGCUUACUGCACCAGUUAACAAAACCAGUUCUGGUGACUUGCUUUUCUUCUAGAUACAAUAUGUUAAAAGGACAGGUAUCUGCAAGGGCAAAUGUGUUACUGAUAGGAAAGUGAGUUUGUGACCUUUGGCCACAUAAAAGGAAGAGUUUGCAAUAUGCAUGGUGAAGCCACAAAGGAAAGCAAAUUUCUUAAUUGUAUGGUCAGCACUCAAACACCAUUCUGGCUACAAGGGCUGAACCUUGGUUUCUAUGAAAUCAAAGCAGAUGUAUGAACCUCAACAAAUCCUGCGUUCGCCUGUGGAGUUACAGGGAAAUCGGUAUCAUUCUACCACUUGCAUUACUGAUAAGAGACUCUAAGCACAUAGGCAGUGGUGUUAUAUACUCCUUUUGCAGUAUUGAGAUUUCCCUUAUCUUCUUUCUCACACCACAGCAGUGGGAUGAACCACACUUUGCUUUUUUUUUUUCUUUUAAAUAACUUCCAGAGUGAGCCAGUUGCUGUGGUUAGAUGGAUGAAACAUUUCUGAAGUGUCA